UACGGAGGGUGCAAGCGUUAUCCGGAUUUACUGGGUUUAAAGGGUGCGUAGGCGGACUUUUAAGUCAGUGGUGAAAUCCCCCGAGCUUAACUCGGAAACUGCCAUUGAUACUAUUAGUCUUGAAUUCGGUCGAGGUUGGCGGAAUGUGUCGUGUAGCGGUGAAAUGCUUAGAUAUGACACAGAACACCGAUUGCGAAGGCAGCUAGCUAGACCGACAUUGACGCUGAGGCACGAAAGCGUGGGGAUCAAACAGGA
rnacentral:rRNA from 1 species